GAACCUUAUACGAACUUUUGUAUCCUUGGAAUAGCUACGAACAGCUCCGAAACAUGGUGGGACAGCACGGGAUAAGUCGGAACAACAGUCCGGAAAAUGACGGAGCGACACUUCGGAACAGACCUGGAACAAUCUAAACAAAACGAAUUAUUUUUGAUAACAAAUAAUGAGACUUUGUAAACAUUGGUUAAUUAAGAAAAGGC